AUUGAACGCUGGCGGCAUGCCUUACACAUGCAAGUCGAACGGCAGCGGACCUUCGGGUGCCGGCGAGUGGCGAGCGGGUGAGUAAUAUAUCGGAACGUACCUUUCAGUGGGGGAUAACGUAGCGAAAGUUACGCUAAUACCGCAUAUUCUGUGAGCAGGAAAGCGGGGGAUCGCAAGACCUUGCGCUGAUUGAGCGGCCGAUAUCAGAUUAGCUAGUUGGUGAGGUAAAGGCUCACCAAGGCGACGAUCUGUAGCGGGUCUGAGAGGAUGAUCCGCCACACUGGAACUGAGACACGGUCCAGACUCCUACGGGAGGCAGCAGUGGGGAAUUUUGGACAAUGGGCGCAAGCCUGAUCCAGCCAUGCCGCGUGAGUGAAGAAGGCC
rnacentral:rRNA from 1 species